rnacentral:lncRNA from 1 species
CUCAAAAGAGUAACAGUAUGUCUUAAUAAAUACCUUAACUUCAAACGACUAUAAUUUUUUCACCCUAACUCCAAAUCUUCUAAUUUUUGUACACAAAUUGUAUCCUAAAUCCUAAACUUUACAACCCUAGCUUGCAAUCUCUGCAUGCUUUCUUUGAAGUCAUCGAAACCCUUCUUAAGAUUGCAGGCAACCUCCUCAGAGUCCAUU